UACGGGGGGGGCAAGCGUUGUUCGGAAUUACUGGGCGUAAAGGGCUCGUAGGCGGCCAACUAAGUCGGACGUGAAAUCCCUCGGCUUAACCGGGGAACUGCUUCCGAUACUGGAUGGCUUGAGUGUGGGAGAGGGAUGCGGAAUUCCAGGUGUAGCGGUGAAAUGCGUAGAUAUCUGGAGGAACACCGGUGGCGAAGGCGGCAUCCUGGACCAUUACUGACGCUGAGGCACGAAAGCGUGGGGAGCGAACAGG
rnacentral:rRNA from 1 species